rnacentral:rRNA from 1 species
UACAGAGGGUGCGAGCGUUGUCCGGAAUCACUGGGCGUAAAGGGCUCGUAGGUGGCCAACUAAGUCAGACGUGAAAUCCCUCGGCUUAACCGGGGAACUACAUCUGAUACUGGAUGGCUUGAGUUUGGGAGAGGGAUGCGGAAUUCCAGGUGUAGCGGUGAAAUGCGUAGAUAUCUGGAGGAACACCGGUGGCGAAGGCGGCAUCCUGGACCAACACUGACACUGAGGAGCGAAAGCCAGGGGAGCAAACGGG